CUGAGAUAACCACUUAAACAUCCUCAUUAAAUUGCCUGAAGGGAGUUUGCAAGUGGUGGCUUGGAGCACUGCUAGCUGACAGGCAUUGAAGUCAUGCUUAUUGUAACACAACUCUGCUGGGCAGGAAGGAGGACAACCCAAGCCAUCUGCUGCACAUCACGAUGACGGGGAUGACCAAACGCUAGUUGAAUAGAUGAAAUAACUGAGAGGCAGCCAAGCUGUCUGGUGGUACAAGACUGUCAGAUUCACUCAAUCCCAAGACAAGGAGCUCUUUGAUAAUGGGCUACAGGAAAGGGUGAAAGAAUGGUUUAGAAAUAAUUCAAGAAAGAACAAUCUGAUUCCCACUUGGAGGAGGACGCAGGAGUGAAUCAGAUGGGGCUGUGGUGCCUGGGGAGGAGGAAAUUGAAAAUGCCCUGUAUGAUUCGAGGUACUGGGAAUACUGAGACGACACUUUAGCUCAGCAAGGUCAAACGGUUGAUACAAGUUCCCAAAACUGGUAAGUAAAUGUUUAGACUAGAAUCUUGGUUUCUUGACUCUCAGGCCAAGAGCUUUCUACUAUUAAAUAGUGUUGGCCUUUAGCUAUCAACUUCAUGGCUUAGAAUUGUUUUCCUUAGUAUGUGCCUUAUAUAAUUAUAUUGACGAUAGUAUUAUUGAAGCUGUAUUUUUUGGUAGAGACUGAGAUAGUUACCACACUAGUAGUGAAUUUACAAGCUAAUGACUUACUGAUAACUGAAAGAUAUUUGGAAAUAAUUAGGAUCUUGCCAUGAAGUUUAUAACAGCUUUUGCCCAUAGUAAAAUGGUAAUAUAGGCUAUUAUUUAAGAUUAUUCUAUUUUAUCUAAUGAAUUAACCACAGAUUCAAAUAUCCCAUUAGUAGCUUUAACUUUUGCACCUUUUGAAUAAGAUGAAUAUAGAAAAAUUAUUUUAUUACUUUUUUUCAUUCAUCUAUUUCCUCAACAACUACUCUGUACCCUGUACUAAUCUAGAGACUAAAGAUACCAUUGUAAACAGUAUAGAAGAGUGUCCUCUCAUGGAACUUAUACUCUAGUCAGGGGAAGCAGACAAUAAACACAUGAGUGAAUUAAUAAAUAAUGAAAAGGGUAAUUUUAGGGUAGUCCCCAAACACUUUAAAAUUGGGAAAUCAGGCAAUCAGUGAUUUGUCAGUCUAAUAAAUAAUAAUGGUAUAACUAAAAUCAGAAGUGUUAAUCACACUUUAAGUGAUUAGCCCAUUUAAACAACUUAUUUUUUCCAAGCCUCAGUUCUCUAGCCUUACUACCCACCAAUAAAUGAGUUAAUAGGUUACAUAAAUUAAAAUGUAAUUAUGCACAUAGUGUUAUUAAACAGUGGGGUUAAAUUAAUAUGUGGCAAAAAGAAUGCUAAAAUUACUUUACCUAAGAGGUAUGAUGUGGUGUCUCAGGUUAGUUUUAAAUUUUAACUUGUCUCUUUCUACAACAUUAUAGAUUUUCCCAGACGUAGGAAAAUUGGUUCCUGGGAUAAUCUUUAUUUGUUUAUUUUUCAUUUGCUUCUCUAUAGAAAGUCUCUUACCUACAAAAGGUUUUGUUCCCAAAGUUAAUUUGUACACCAUUCUGAACUCGUUUACCAUAGAAGCGGUGCUUAGCAUAGUUGUUAGGUUCAAAUGUUGGUUUACAGAAGUUUAUUUCACUGUUCUUGAAGCUGAAAAGUUGCACUUAAUGGUGCUCCCUUGAGUUCUGGCCCAAUUUGGUUGCAAGGAGUAAACAAAAGAGGUACAUUUUUCUCUUUCUCUGAGCACAGACCUGGAUCCAGUCCAUCCUGGGAAGCAGAUGAGAUUUCCUCAUGGCCCCCUCUGGUCUUCCCUCUCACACCCCUGCCUGCUCAUGGCACUGUUCUCUUUAGGCGUCAGGACAGAUUUUUUUUUUUUUCUUUUUCUAGUAAGAGCUAUGUGUCCUCUAUUUACUUUUUUCCAUCUUAUUGGAAGAAUACCAAAGUUGAUAAUUGAGUAAACAAUAUGGAUAUUUGAUUUUUCUAAAUGCCAAAUAGAUGUAUCACAGUGUCAAAAUGAUUUCCUUCAUCUUUUGUUCAAGUAUCUGUUUUUAGGGGCCAAGAACUUCCUCAGAGUUACCUUCUUUUGCUUCUGAACAAUACCCUCUUCUCGGUUAGAGCUGUCACGGACUGGCCCUCAGAUGUUCACAGAAUAUUCUUGCUUCUAACUUUGAGAUGGUACAUGGAGUUAAAAUCUAUGUGAUUUAACCCAAGGCAAGCUUAGUCCUGUUAAAAGAGAAAAAAAAAAAAAAAAGGCUGAAAAAGUAUAGCAGUGUUAAUUGAUUAGUUUGGGUUCACCCUGCUGUUGGCAUUUACUUUAUUCUCUAUAUUGUCCUUGUAUACUUUGUUGUCACUUUAGAGAAAUCUGCUAUAUGAAUUCCCAGCAUAAGCAAAAAGCAAACGGAAGCAGUGAGUUUGUCCCACACCACUGUCAAGACAGUGCAUAGGUCUGCAGCCUGCCAAAAAUAGAUGUGGUUUAUAGUAUGUUCAACUCCAUUGCUCAUAUUUUUUCAUUUCCUCUUCCCAGCUGAGUAAAUGGAGGGGGGAAGAGAAAAAAAUUACUGCCAUAAAAAGUACAUUUUCCCCUCUGUGUUCGAUUAUGGAGGGACAUCUAUAAACGUGGGCAUAAAGCCCAGAGGAAAGGAGAUAUUUCCGAAAUGUUGUCUGAUAGUCACUUUAGUUUCCAAAUAAAUAUAAUUUGAAAAUACAUUGAGGACAUCUAAGCAGAAAUAUUGACAUAUGGCAUGUAAUAUUUGGCUGAGUUUGUGGAUGAGAAAUGAGCCUGCGUCAAGGAGCUUUGCUGGUAAUUGUAUAACCCAGGAAGGGACUGACAAUCCGUCAUGAAACACAGAAAUUUAGGAAGCUGUGGAACCUUAAUGAUCAUGUAGAAGAAUUUAUCUGGUAAUUAAAACACUGAAAUAAAACUACUGUAAAAUAUGAACAAAAUUAAUGUGAUCAUUUAGAAAUAGCUGAACUAUUCAGUUUCAGCUUUUGCAAUUUCCAAAAGGUGCUAUUUGCUGGGCUCCAGGGUGCCAUGGCAAAAACAGGACCUUUCUUUGGUCAGUACCUACAAUUGAAAUCUCAUCUCCAGGCUGGCUGCUUAGGGUGUGGCAUUUGUUUGUUCAUUGUGAUGUUACCGUCAAAGCAUAUGUCACAUAUGCUUAAGUAUGUUUAAUAUUAUAAGGCACAUAUACUUAAUGUGGAGAGCAGCAUUUGCAGCAAUACAUGCUCGAAGUAGUAUUUACUUGAAAAACCAGUUCCGAGGAGAUAGCAUGGUUUAUUAGAUGCCCAUUAGAUUGGAAUUUGGAAACUUAAUUUUCGUUUCUACUUUUGCCAUCUGGCUUUAUGAGUUUAGAUGAGUGACAUUCAUUUUCAGAUUUCUUUGUGUCGAUCUCUAAAAUGGGAAGGCUAUCUAGUUGAUUUCUAGGGUUAUUUUAUAAAUAUCCAAUAAAUUCCAUUGAACAAUUAUCUCUAAGGAACUCUUUUUUUAAUGCCAAGGGAAUUGGCUAAAAUAUAUACAAAAUAAUAUAAAAAGUAAAGAAAAAUAUUGGAAUCAUUGUUUUGUACUUAUGUUUAGCUGAUCCUGUGAUACCUGUGGAUGUUUUUGUGUUUAUGAUUUUGUGGUCAGGAAGAAAGAUGCCACCCUUCUACUGAAGGCAGAUUAGUGAUAGUUCUCUGAGGGGCCAUCAUCAUUUAGUAGCUCUGUAGCCAACUACACCACCAAAAACAAGAUGGCACAUUCCAAUGAAGAAAAUAAAGAGAGCCUAAUGAGCUGGUUAGAGCUCAAAGGGCUAGUUAGAAACUAUAGUCAGUGUUCAGGGUAACCCAUAAGGAAUGGCAAAGAUUCCUUUGGGACCAGUAAGAGCAGGGAGAUCUUAGCACCUUUAGGCCUGCAGGAGCAAAGGGAACAGCAGAUAUUGGAAUCUGUAAAGAGAUCACUAGCUUGUUUGUAGCUAUGGGAGAGGGUCUCCAACCAGAGCUCUGGGCUUUAGUGUAGAAGCUUGGCCACUUUCCAGUAGGAAGGGAAUCAGAAGAGAGAAUAAAUAUAUGAAUCUCUUUCUCUCCUGACUCUGUGAUCUUU